rnacentral:misc_RNA from 1 species
UGAACAUGUAGGUCAUGUAAUCAGUGGUGAUAAAGGGAUCAUUAACGGCAACCAAUUCGAUAUCAUCACUCUGCAAGGCGACUCUAGCAACAAGGCGACCGAUCCUUCCAAAUCCAUUGAUGCCGAUCUUAACUUUGCCCAUUGUUGUGAGAGGAAAUGGGGAAUGAACAGAUCAAAAGUAAGAUUUGAGAGAAAGUUAGAGCAGCGAAUCCCG